rnacentral:tRNA from 1 species
CGGGGUGUGGCGCAGCUUGGUAGCGCGCGUCGUUCGGGACGACGAGGUCGUGAGUUCAAAUCUCGCCACCCCGACCA